rnacentral:rRNA from 1 species
GGUUUGGUGGUCAUAGCGCAAGCAAAACACCCGGUCCCAUCCCGAACCCGGAAGUUAAGUGCUGCAGCGCCAAUGGUACUUGGGCUCAAGCCCCGGGAGAGUAGGUCACCGCCAAACCU